GCGACUGAGCCACCCAGGUGCCCCUAAAACCUACCUUUUCACUUGUAUUUUUAGUAUCCUUAGAUUCACAGUCAACAAAUGUUUAAUUAUUUUUAAAUGUUUUUCCCUUGAUAUUGUGUGGGAUGAGGGCAGAAGAUGAGAUAAAAUCAUUUGUAUAAUUUGUACACUUAUGUUGUGGUCUGUAAUAAACAGAAAACACCCCCCAGCACCCUGCUACAUGAAGAACCAUGAAGGGUGCUUUUAUUAAGGCAGCAGGUAUAACAGCCAAUGUGACCCACAGAGAGUUGGGUUUAUUAUGGCUCUUCUUUUUGUGUGCCCCACACUACUUUGAUAAAGUGGAAUGAGGGCUGCAGUUUCUAUUUCUUGUCUUAGGUAGGUACAGUAUUACUAAGAUAUAAUCUGUUUAUAGACUUGCUUCAAGUACAAUCCUUAUUUUUUUAAGUUUAUUUAUUUUGAGAGAGAGAGAGAGAACAAGCAGGGGAGGGGCAGAAAGAAAGGGGGACAGACAGAGGAUUCGAAGUGAGCUCUGUGAUGAUAGCAGAGAGCUCCGUGUGGGGCUUGACCUCACGAACCGUGAGAUCAUGACCAGAGCUGAAGUUGGACGCUUAACCGACUGAGCCAUCCAGGCAACCCUCAAGUACAAUCCUUACGCAGAGAAUCUUUAUCAGAUUACUUCUUUGGGAAGUUUUGUUAGAUUCCAAUAUGCUCCAUAAAAGAUCUGCUCUGUGUUUCUUCAAUGUGAAGAGGACUCUCUGCCUGCAUUUUAGUUGGCUGUAUUCCUCAUGAAUGAUAACUCAUGUCCUCCAGGUGCUGGGUCAGAGACGAGGAAUAUCCCUCUGUGAAUAUAAUCUAAUUUGAGAAUGAACCUCUGGUUGCCGAGAAACACGACCCUGAAACUUACUGAGAUCUACCAUUAUGCGAGAUUGUAUGUUCCAAAGAGGACUGCACAAGUAUGUAUGUCUCAUCCGAAACGUUUCUCUUCGAGUGUUUCUGAUACUCCUCCCACUGACAAGUUUGGGGCCUGUAUGUUCCAUACCCUUGAAACUGGGCAGGGUUUUGCAACAACUCCAAUUCAUUUGGUGAAAGUGAUGCUAUGUGAUUUCUGAGGUGAGGUCAUAAUAGAAUAUAGCAUCCAUCUGGCUUGCUCCCUCUUGCCACACACCUUGGGAACUCUGAUCCUAUACAUAAGAAGUCAAACCAGAUAUCUUGAAGCCACCAUACCGAGAAGAGUAGUGGAGAAGCCUAUUAGAAAGAGUGAGAGAGACCUAAGGAGCCCCAGGCUGUGCCAGCCCUCAUCUGUCUGAGUCUUCUAGCAUCCACUGCUAUUCACAGUGAGCCAGGACAACCUACAGGUCCCUGGCAGAGUCAAAUGUAACACCUCAUAGGGUGUGCAUAACCAUCAUGGAAAACAAGUCCCAUUGAAGAGGAACUCACAGCGAAACAUUAUAAAGCACACAAGGAAACAGGCCACCACAUUUGUGACUCAGUGUGACUAAGUAACUAAGUUCUGGCCAAUGGGAUAUGAGCAAAUGAGAAGUGUGUCACUUCUGGAUCCAGGCCUUAAGAAGCUUCUACCAAGUAGAUAAAGGCAAUGCUCUGAGGAAUGGAAUAGAGAUAUGGAACAGAGGAGCCACCCUGACAACCUGGACCACUUAUCCUAAGACUGUUUCAGGAGAGAGAAAUAAACAUUAUGUUUCAGAGGAGUCAGAGAGGAAGAUCUCUUUCUUACAAUAACGCUUUACCCUAAUUAAUAUACAUGAUAAAUGAAAACUGAUUAAAAUAAAAGGGAGACUCUCAGAAUGAGUUAAUAAUACCGAAAUUCAACUGUUUUUUACAAGACAUACUUAAAACAUAGUGACUAAGAAUGGUUGGAAAUAAAGAGAUGAGAAGAUAUAUACCAGGCAACCACUAACAAAAAGAAAGCUAUGGUAUCAUGCAAAAUAAAUUUAAGGUGAAAAACAAUGGACAGAUAAACAUGUAAUGAAUUUGCCUAGGCAACUGGAUUAUAGUCCUGCUUUGCGAUUUAUACAGUGAAACCUUGGGCAAAUUGCUUUAUUCUUGUCUAGUUUCAAUUUCCAUCUCUAUAACAGUUGAUGAUAUUUUAUUUGCUGAAAUGUGAGAAUUAAAUGAGAUAAUGAUGGGAAACUAAUUUUCUUUUUUU